GCAGAGUGAUGAACAGCGUAAUGCUGUGUAGUGCAGUUAUUUAGAGUACAGUUCAGAGAUGGCAUGACACCAUGUGCAAAGUCCUUUGUUGGCCUACAUUGUUAAAUCCACAGAUAUGGAUAAUAAAAACAUACGGUUCAAAUAACAAAAUGAGAUCAUUUUCAAAUUAUUGAAGUUAAUUUGAACAUUUUAUUCAAUAUAAAACAACUUAUUUUGAAUGAUCUUCCAUUCCGUCACUGACACUGACAUUAUUAAAAUAGCUCAGGCAGCUACAGAAAAGUUCCCUCCCUUCGGUAAUUCCAUUCAAAGUAAGCUUCCUUAGCCCCGGGGAGUUCAGAAGUGUUUUUCCACGACACACCUAAAAUAUGUGAAUGAUGUUGUACUGUACAGAGAGAGAGCUUCAAGAGACAACACGGCAAGCUGAGACGGAGUUGUGGGUGGCAACACAGACAAUAGGCGUUUCUGGUUCAUGCAAGUGUGAGAUUUAAAAAGGUCUGAAUGAAGUUUGAGACAGAGAAACUUUCUUGGUGCUUGUGAUUUCGUUUCGUCUGUCUGUAUAUGCUUGUUACGUAUUCAUAGAUAUUCAGUAACACAUGCAGCGUCAGGACUCUGUUGAUUAUUGAGAGCACUCGGUGGAGAGAGAAGAGGCAUCCGCGACUCCGUGUCUUGACACGGGUGUAAUCAUUAGUACAAAACGUUUUGCAACGGGAACCAUUUACUACAAACGAAAACGUUUUGCAUUAAAACGAGACUUUAUAUUGGACAAAUCCAGCUAGGUCUCUCCCCGUUUCGUUCCGUUUACUUCCGUUUUGGUUCCUAGUUAACAAUACGCAACAGGCAAUGCUCUGACGUCACAAGUGAGACUCUCGAACUAAAGCAAGCCUAAUCGAAUAUAUAUAUAUAUAUAUUAUGGUUCAAUCAGUGGAUAUACUUCCCGGGACAGAGAACUCUUUGUUUGGAGCCAAAAUCAUGAAAGCACAGGUGGCAGAGUAACCGCAGGACAUCGAGGCUGUUCUUUGCUGGGGUUCUCCCUCCAGACUAUUUCUCUCUUUCAUCCUCCCUUUCCCUUCACUCUCUUUCUCCACCUGCACAUCAGUCCCUCCAUCCUUCCUUGUCUCUUAACUC
rnacentral:lncRNA from 13 species